GGAGGUGGUGGAGGAGUCGGUGGUGGAGCUUGCAGAGGAGCAGAGACUGUGUUUGGGAUUUUCACAGGCCCCAGAGUAGAAGGCUGUGGAGAAGUUGAAGCUGCGUUUGGCCAACGUGAUGCUGUGUCUGAAUCUGUUGCUUCAGAUCUUCAAGCAAGGAACCAGCCAUUCCUGUCAUACCUGGCAUCCCAAAGGUGGCGGAGCUGGGCAAGCCCAGAUCUGGCCCCAAGCUAAAUUCUGCCCCAGGCCGUGGUCAUCCUGGGGCAUCGUUUCACUCUCUGCCCAGAGUUCGCCAUUCAUUGGCAAGGAGGCAUACAGCUGCUGAAGUUCAGCCUCGCUCAGUUCGGGGUGGCCUGCUUCCAAGUGUUUCUUUAAAGCCUGGAAUGUUCGGAAACUCCGCUGGCAGAGGUUACACAUUGUAGCAGCCCGAAUGGCAUGAUACUGGGAAUGUAUCUGAAGCUUCUGCAUAGUUUUAAAAGCCAAGCUACAGUGAUUACAACGAUACUUAUAAACAUGUCGGUCAGAAACUGAUAAGGGCUGCCUUUUUUGUUGUUCGCUCAGCUGCUCUUGCAGAGUGUCUGGGAUUUUCGCAUCCUUGCUGCUGUUUUUAUUCCAUUCUGACACCUCCAAGGGCUCCUUUGCUGGUUUCUGCUCCUCGCUCUUUAGUUCCACACCCGCCUUUGAAUCCUCAAGACCUGCAAUACUUUUGUCAUCCACUGGGCUUUCACCUGUUAAGAGAAAGCAAAAGCAUAUCUUACCACCGUAAGAACACCGACCCCUCGAAUGUCAGUAAGUGUGUAAGUGGGAGCCAGUAAUGAUGUCUGCUUAAUUGAAUCUGCAUAGAACUGUUAUUAACGGGUUACUGCAAACAUUAUGUCAGGUGUCCCUAAGAAGAUGAACAGGAAAUCAUUCCUGACCUGAAGGAAUUUAAGGGUAGAGAAGAAUACAAGUCAAGGGUAACCACAGUGUACUGUAAUAAGCACUUU